ACCUGGGUGGCUCAGUCGGUUGAGCAUCCAACUUCCACUCAGGUCAUGAUCUCACGGUUUGUGGGUUCAAGCCCCACAUCAGGCU
rnacentral:tRNA from 1 species